UGAAAACUUUUAGUCUGGUAUAUGCACAAUAUUAGAUGGAUGUCGACAGCACCUAAGAUUCUUCACCAAUUAUCGGCCUCUGAAUCACCAUCGCCUUCAUACUGGGCCAGCACCUAAGAUUCUUCACCAGUUAUCCGCCUCUGAAUCACUAUCAUCUUCAUCCUGAUCACUUUCAUCCUGGGCCGGUGAAGAAUUAUUCAUCAUAAACCUCAAACUGUCGCCUUCCUCG
rnacentral:misc_RNA from 1 species